UCUCAGUUCGGAUUGUAGUCUGCAACUCGACUACAUGAAGCUGGAAUCGCUAGUAAUCGCGGAUCAGAAUGCCGCGGUGAAUACGUUCCCGGGUCUUGUACACACCGCCCGUCACACCAUGGGAGUCGGGAAUGCCCGAAGCCAGUGACCCAAGCGAGAGCAGGGAGCUGUCGAAGGCAGGCCGGAUAACUGGGGUGAAGUCGUAACAAGGUACC
rnacentral:rRNA from 1 species